rnacentral:rRNA from 1 species
GACGAACGCUGGCGGCGUGCCUAAUACAUGCAAGUAGAACGCUGAAGAGAGGAGCUUGCUCUUCUUGGAUGAGUUGCGAACGGGUGAGUAACGCGUAGGUAACCUGCCUUGUAGCGGGGGAUAACUAUUGGAAACGAUAGCUAAUACCGCAUAACAAUGGAUGACACAUGUCAUUUAUUUGAAAGGGGCAAUUGCUCCACUACAAGAUGGACCUGCGUUGUAUUAGCUAGUAGGUGAGGUAACGGCUCACCUAGGCGACGAUACAUAGCCGACCUGAGAGGGUGAUCGGCCACACUGGGACUGAGACACGGCCCAGACUCCUACGGGAGGCAGCAGUAGGGAAUCUUCGGCAAUGGGGGCAACCCUGACCGAGCAACGCCGCGUGAGUGAAGAAGGUUUUCGGAUCGUAAAGCUCUGUUGUAAGUCAAGAACGAGUGUGAGAGUGGAAAGUUCACACUGUGACGGUAGCUUACCAGAAAGGGACGGCUAACUACGUGCCAGCAGCCGCGGUAAUACGUAGGUCCCGAGCGUUGUCCGGAUUUAUUGGGCGUAAAGCGAGCGCAGGCGGUUUGAUAAGUCUGAAGUUAAAGGCUGUGGCUCAACCAUAGUUCGCUUUGGAAACUGUCAAACUUGAGUGCAGAAGGGGAGAGUGGAAUUCCAUGUGUAGCGGUGAAAUGCGUAGAUAUAUGGAGGAACACCGGUGGCGAAAGCGGCUCUCUGGUCUGUAACUGACGCUGAGGCUCGAAAGCGUGGGGAGCGAACAGGAUUAGAUACCCUGGUAGUCCACGCCGUAAACGAUGAGUGCUAGGUGUUGGAUCCUUUCCGGGAUUCAGUGCCGCAGCUAACGCAUUAAGCACUCCGCCUGGGGAGUACGACCGCAAGGUUGAAACUCAAAGGAAUUGACGGGGGCCCGCACAAGCGGUGGAGCAUGUGGUUUAAUUCGAAGCAACGCGAAGAACCUUACCAGGUCUUGACAUCCCGAUGCUAUUUCUAGAGAUAGAAAGUUACUUCGGUACAUCGGUGACAGGUGGUGCAUGGUUGUCGUCAGCUCGUGUCGUGAGAUGUUGGGUUAAGUCCCGCAACGAGCGCAACCCCUAUUGUUAGUUGCCAUCAUUCAGUUGGGCACUCUAGCGAGACUGCCGGUAAUAAACCGGAGGAAGGUGGGGAUGACGUCAAAUCAUCAUGCCCCUUAUGACCUGGGCUACACACGUGCUACAAUGGUUGGUACAACGAGUUGCGAGUCGGUGACGGCAAGCUAAUCUCUUAAAGCCAAUCUCAGUUCGGAUUAUAGGCUGCAACUCGCCUACAUGAAGUCGGAAUCGCUAGUAAUCGCGGAUCAGCACGCCGCGGUGAAUACGUUCCCGGGCCU